rnacentral:rRNA from 1 species
CGUUGAAAUGUUAGGGGAUGAGCUGUGGCUAGGGGUGAAAGGCCAAUCAAACCUGGAGAUAGCUGGUUCUCUCCGAAAACUAUUGAGGUAGUGCCUCGUGUUUAUCACUGCCGGGGGUAGAGCACUGUUAUGGCUAGGGGGUCACGCCGACUUACCAAACCAUGGCAAACUCCGAAUACCGGUAAGCGCAAUCACGGGAGACAGACAGCGGGUGCGAACGUCCGUUGUCAAGAGGGAAACAACCCAGACCGCCGUCUAAGGCCCCCAAGCCGUUGCUAAGUGGGAAACGAAGUGGGGGGGCACACACAGCCAGGAUGUUGGCUUAGAAGCAGCCAUCAUUUAAAGAAAGCGUAAUAGCUCACUGGUCUAGUCCCCCUGCGCGGAAAAUGUAACGGGGCUUAAGCAACGCGCCGAAGACGCGGGUGUCAGAAGGUUGAGUAAAGGGAAUUCGGCUUAAAGCCGAAUCGUGGAACGGGCGUUUACCCUAGCCCGUUCCUUUGCGGUAUGGUAAAAUUCGGGCAUGACGACAAACGCCAUUGCCAUCGCGCGCAAUCUAGCCGCCGCGGGAGUGGAACAAAAAGCCGCGGAUGCGAUUGCAGAGGCGGUCGUCACGCAUUCCGACGAAAGCUUUGCCACGAAAACAGAUGUCGCCAAUGUGAGAAACGAUAUUGUUAGGUUGGAAGGCAAAAUAGAGGCAUUGGCGAUACAGAUUAAAAUAUCCAUAGGAUUGUCGGUCGGGCUUUAUGUCGCUCUCUUCGCCUUUCUUUUGGGAAAACUGUAGUCAAGAGAAGAUGAGAAUAUUGUCGGACAUGUUGGUUAAUGGGUUUCAGCAGCUCAUUGAACUUAUUUUGUGGCUUUCUUUGUUGAUAUUUCUUGUAGGAGGAUGGACAUUAAAUCAGGUCAUGGGCCUUGUGGUGGGUUUCUUGCUCUGGCUCGUUAUUAUGUCUGUUUUUUGCAGUUUAUUUAUUAUGGUUUACGACAUUAGAAUAAGCUUGAAAAAUAUUGAAAAAUCCGCCAGUCUCGGAAAGAAAGAAAAUAAUACAAAUUAAUUCACGCAACUGUCGGUUGUGGGCGGUUGAAGAAUUCCCUUUACUCAACCUUUUGACGCGGUAGGAGAGCGUUCCGUAAGCCAGUGAAGGCGGUUUGAAAGGGCCGCUGGAGGUAUCGGAAGUGAGAAUGCUGACAUGAGUAACGUUAAAACGGGUGAAAAACCCGUUCGCCGAAAGUCCCAGGUUUCCUGUGCAAUGUUAAUCAUCGCAGGGUUAGUCGAUUCCUAAGGCGAGGCCGAAAGGCGUAGUCGAUGGAAAACGGGUUAAUAUUCCCGUACCUUCGCAUGAUGCGAUGGGGUGACGGAGAGUGCUGCCUUGUCCGGGUGUUGGAAGUCCCGGUUCAAGCUGGUAGUUCAUUGAUGUUUCCAGGUAAAUCCGGAAACGGAGAAUGAGAAGCGACAACGACCGCUUUUUCGGAAGCGGGAAGCAAGUGACGCACGCUCCCAAGAAAAGCCUCUAAGCUUCAGUCAUGCGAGGAUCGUACCGCAAACCGACACUGGUGGACAGGAAGAAUAUUCCAAGGCGCUUGAGAGAACUCGGGUGAAGGAACUCGGCAAAAUGAUACCGUAACUUCGGGAGAAGGUAUGCCCCGACAAUGUGAAGUCCCUCGCGGACGGAGCAGUAAGGGGUCGAAGAGAAUUGGUGGCUGCGACUGUUUACUAAAAACACAGCACUCUGCAAACACGAAAGUGGAAGUAUAGGGUGUGACGCCUGCCCAAUGCCGGAAGGUUAAUUGACGGGGUUAGCCCUUAUGGGCGAAGCUCCUGAUCGAAGCCCCGGUCAAUGGCGGCCGUAACUAUAACGGUCCUAAGGUACCGAAAUUCCUUGUCGGGUAAGUUCCGACCUGCAGGAAUGGCGCAACGAUGGCCACACUGUCUCCACCCGAGACUCAGUGAAAUUGAAAUGAGUGUGCUGAUGCACCCUACCCGCUGUUAGACGGAAAGACCCCGUGCACCUUUACUGCAGCUUUGCAUUGAGUUUUGAAUAGGUUUGUGUAGGAUAGGUGGGAGGCGAUGAAGCCGAGGCGCCAGCUUCGGUGGAGCCAUCCUUGAAAUACCACCCUGAUUUAUUUGGAACCCUAACCUAGCCCCGUUAUCCGGGGCGGGGACCAUGCAUGGCGGGCAGUUUGACUGGGGCGGUCUCCUCCCAAAGAGUAACGGAGGAGCGCAAAGGUAUGCUUCGCUCGGUCGGAAAUCGAGCUGGACGUGCAAUGACAAAAGCAUGCUUGACUGCAAGAGUGACGGCUCAAGCAGGUGCGAAAGCAGGUCAUAGUGAUCCGGUGGCGCUUUAUGGAAGGGCCAUCGCUCAACGGAUAAAAGGUACGCCGGGGAUAACAGGCUAAUUCCUCCCAAGAGUCCACAUCGACGGAGGAGUUUGGCACCUCGAUGUCGGCUCAUCACAUCCUGGGGCUGUAGCAGGUCCCAAGGGUAUGGCUGUUCGCCAUUUAAAGUGGUACGUGAGCUGGGUUUAGAACGUCGUGAGACAGUUCGGUCCCUAUCUGCAGUGGGCGCUGGAAAUUUGAAGGGAUCUGCUCCUAGUACGAGAGGACCGGAGUGGACGAACCUCUGGUGUACCGGUUGUCGCGCCAGCGGCAUUGCCGGGUGGCUAUGUUCGGAAUGGAUAACCGCUGAAAGCAUCUAAGUGGGAAGCCAACCCUGAGACGAGAUUUCCCGAGGGCUUGACCCUCCUGAAGACCCCUUGAAGACGACGAGGUUGAUAGGUCGGAUGUGGAAGUGCGGCAACGCAUUAAGCUAACCGAUACUAAUUGGUCGUGCGGCUUGGUUCC